UCCAGACUCCUACGGGAGGCAGCAGUGGGGAAUAUUGCACAAUGGGGGAAACCCUGAUGCAGCGACGCCGCGUGAGUGAGGAAGUAUUUCGGUAUGUAAAGCUCUAUCAGCAGGGAAGAAAAUGACGGUACCUGACUAAGAAGCCCCGGCUAACUACGUGCCAGCAGCCGCGGUAAUACGUAGGGGGCAAGCGUUAUCCGGAUUUACUGGGUGUAAAGGGAGCGUAGGCGGCUGUGUAAGCCAGAAGUGAAAGCCCGGGGCUCAACUCCGGGACUGCUUUUGGAACUACAUGGCUUGAUUGCAGGAGAGGCAAGUGGAAUUCCUAGUGUAGCGGUGAAAUGCGUAGAUAUUAGGAGGAACACCAGUGGCGAAGGCGGCUUGCUGGACUGUAAAUGACGCUGAGGCUCGAAAGCGUGGGGAGCAAACAGGAUUAGAUACCCCGGUACCG
rnacentral:rRNA from 1 species